GCAUGAGAAACAUUUUUGGUCGAUUUUGACAGAUAGCAAUCAAAAAAUGUAUAAUUACUAUCACAAGAUAUUUUUAUUAUGAGAUAAUAUCAACAAGAAAACUAAUUUUUUUUUUAAUCAGUAUUAAUCUUUUGUAGGGAGCGAUGGAUAAAGUUGAAGCAAAAGACCAUGUUGCAAUACGCAGAUAUACAAAGUCGAUUAUACCAUAUUAUAAUUAAAAAGGGAAAAAUAUUCGUCGAGAAAUCAAUUUCCCCUUAAUCCAUGUCCCAUUAGGCUCUUUCGGCUCGUUAGAUCGCGUAAUAGUAAAUUUUAAUCGACUUACAUAAAUCGUGUUCAAAUGAAAUACGUAAAAGAGAAAAAGAUAAUAUUACGAAAAAAAAAUUGUCUUCUCUGAAUACAAUCUUCAUUACAACGUCAUAAAAAAAGAGAGAUGUGUAAAAAAAGAGAGUGUUAACUUAAGUAAUAGAAGAAGAAUAGAAAAUAAUAUUACGAAAAAAGUUGUCAAACAAUAUUUUUUACUCAAAAUUAAUUUUUAUUGAUAUAUACUUUUAACGUCAAGAACAGGAAGAAAUUUUCAAAAUUCUAUAGUUAACUUCUAAUUUCAGACUGUAAAAAGUAUGAACGAAAGAAGAACAUAGAAAAAAAGAAUAAUUAUUCAUCGAAUCGAUAAAUAUCAAUAGAGAAAUUCAUUUCCUCAGAGCUUAUGACCUUUUCGGUUCUUUCAAUCGUAUGAUAGGAAAUAUUGAUUAACCUACAUAAUACCCUGUGCAGAGGGUUCCCUCCUGGUCGUUAGGUAAACUACCCAAAGCGAUUUGUGGGGUAUGAAUUGCCUGUAAGAAUAUGGCGAUAAAGCUGUGCGUCAUUCCUUCGGAAUUUGUCGAACUAGAAAUACGUGAGCGAGUGUCGUACAAGAAAUAUUUGUUACGUGUGUACUUCAUACGUUCCAAAGGGUAGUUUUACAAGGAGUUCAAGCGGUGGAAACAAUUUCUUCGUUUUCACUAGUCUUGUGUUUCUGUUAUCAAUAGAUAUACUAAAGGAAACGAAGGCGGAAGCAGGAAAAGUUCCAAUAGCUUGCAAGUAUUACAAAGGCCCGAGUUGACGGAUAUUUGAAUUAUAAUUCCAAAGAAGAUAUUUGAAAUUUCACUACCUCGUGUUAAUGAAGUAUUCAAAUCCGAAGUGAAACAUAUUUACUUUGGCCUGUUCUUCCUUAUAUCCGGCGAUAACUCCUACAUGGAUAGUACAAAUGCAAUCAAUCAGAUUAUAAUAUGAAAACGUUUCUCUUUUUCUUCUUAUAUUUCAUUGGAAAAUCAGUCAAUGGUUUGUUUAUCGAAUUUUAGAGAUAAGAUUUUAUGAUAGCGACGAGAAUAUUUCUAUUAAUGAGUUGGACAUUAAGUCUCUUAACUCUAGCUGUCAUAUAUGUAUUAUAUUAAUGUGUAUAAUUCAAGAACCCAUAUAUUUUUCACCUUUGUAAAGAAGAAUAUUUGAUAUGGGAAGCAAGAUGUUCGAUGAAAGAGAGGAGAUCGUAAAAGGGGCGGAGGUAGCUGACGCUGCUCACGAAUUUAUUAAAAAACUUGUAAAUGAUAUGGAACCCAAGUUGAUGAAAGAGGCACCAAAUUAUCCGACGUAUAGAAGUAAACAUGUUGCUACUGGUAGAGCAUUACUCUAGCAACCAUCGACAUCAAUAUUGAAUUUUAAUAAACGAGAGCGCAUUGGAUCGUGAAAUUAGAAGAGCGGUUCAAGAUGCAGAUAGAAUUUUAUCCAAGGAAGGAACAUCGUUAGCGAUAGUUCAUGUAUGCAUUAUGUGAUUGGGAAUACCUAGGAAGAGGAAAAAGAAGAAAAAACAUUUGUGCUUGACGACGAAGUUUGGAAAGACCAAUAGGGCGUUGGUUUAUAAAGCGUCGGACGGUGGUACGAGGAAAUGGGAGGGAUUUUCUUCUUCCAAAGGAUCCAAACGUAAGCGGCUUUAGUUGGAGGGUAUACGGGAUUGUACUUAGAAUGAUUUUUUAAAGGGCAGUCCGAUGUUCCAUGCGGUUCAAGGAUCAAAGGGGAAUUGAAAGGAAACUGAGGGAGGUUUAUCAUACAAAAUAAUUUAACAUACAGGGACGAUUAAAAGAUUCAACAUUUUUGGAAAUAAUAACGAUAGCAGGAGUAUACUUUUAGAUUAUACGUGAAAUAAAAAGUCCACGUUUUCAUCAUCGUUAUUCCAUCGAUUUAAAUUAAGUAACAGUUCGCUAUAAUUAAAAAAGGAGAAAUGUUGAAUCCCAUAUUUCAGAUUGUUUGUCAUAAUAUUCACGACAUGCAGUUAAAAAGUAUUCGUAAUAAUUUAUUAGCGUUUUUCAUAAAUAUUGAAAAUUAAACCAAGUAAUUUGGUGCGUAGCGCGAAUUACCCUGUUAAUACGUUUUGACAGGGAUGUAGUGAGUGAAUAUCAGGAAUAUGUUCUCCCAUAUUUAUCGUCAGGUACCUUCGCUUCAAACUUUUCGUUAUUAUCUGCCUCCAUGCAUGUGUGCUCUUGUGUGCGCUCAUGUGCGCUUGCUUGAGGACGGGAGUACGUUCGUGGUUCUACGUGGGUGUAAACAAACAAAUGUUUCCUCAUUUUGACAAGAAGAAAGGAAUUUUUCAUUUAUUUUCUCUUCAUCAAACCAAGCAGAUAAUUGGAAAAUACGAUUAUCUACAUAAUUGAAUAACUUAUUUAACUGCAUCAUUUAAUUAGCCGGUUAGGUCCUUUGCAGGAUUUUACUAAUUCAAUUCUUUCAUAGGAACGAUUAGAUCUUCGUAAAAAUUUAUUGCCGAUCGAAGAACUUAAAGAAAUGAUCCAAUUAAAUAAUAUAUAACAUAUUGUGGAUAUAGUUUUGCAUAAUAUUAUAUAAUAUUGCGUAUAUUAUGUUCUAAACUAGUUAGUUCCUAUGAAAAAAUUAUAUUUCUGCAAUCGUUUAUUACUUAUUACCUAUAAUCGAGUAUAAGAAUGAUUUUAUUAUAUUUUUAGUAAAAUAAUAUUUGUAUUUUCCGAAUGCAUUAUCCGAUUGAUUUAAUUUCUCAAUAAGCACAGAUAUAAUAUAAUACUGAUAUAAUACUGCCCCUAACGUAGUAGAAAUCUAUCAUACUUUUUUUAUUUAUCGUUAUUCGACUAACCAAUCGACAUGGUUCAAAACAUAAGUUAUAAAUGUUGUGGGAAGAUAGCCUUUCAAUGAAAAUACCUUUUCUUCUGAAUAGAGUCUUCUGAAUUCUACUUUCUUGGUAAUGUCAAUGUUCUCUUCAGGAAAGAUAAAUAAAUAUGAAUAAGUAAAUACUAAAAAAAGGUCACUCCCCCAAAAGGAGUCAAACAAAAUUAGAUUUUUACAAAGUAAAAUGAUUGAAAGGAUAUGAAUAUGCAGAAUGAUCGAUAAGAGUAAUCCAAAGCAGAAAAAGAAUCGAAAAGAGAGAACAAGGAUAAGAAUAACAAAAAAUUUUACCAUUUACGGUAGUUUCGAUUUAAAAUUAUUGGUAAUAUUGUGACGAGUUUACGGUGGAUGUCAUAAUAUUUCGUUAAUGUAGAAAAAUAGUACAGUAGGGAUAAUGUAAUAUACAGUAGUAAGGAAAUGAGUUGUGUCGCUUCGUAUAUAGAAGAUACGAAUACAUCUGAGUUGUGUCGCUUCGUAUAUAGAAGAUAGAUAUCAGAAUAUCAGAUAAUUUCAAUUUAUUUUCUGUUAGACUUGAAUAUUGAAAUGGCCGUCUUUGGCAACAUAUAAAGUCAAUAAAUGAUUAGUUUGGACGGUUACCGGAUCAGUUCUCCAUUAUACUCCGAAGAAUAAACAUCGAAGCUCUCUCGCUGCCGCCUGCAAAGAAUGAAAAGAAAUAAGUAAAGUACAGAAUGAAAUAGUAAUAAGAAACUAUGCAAUUUUCUAUAGUAUAUUAUAAAAGAGUUAAUCGGAGUAUUGGAUAUGUAAUUGUAUAAAAUAGGGCAUAACAUAACGUCACUAAUUUAAACUCAUAGAUAGAUAUAUAAAAUUAUCCUAUUGUUUAUAGCAUGCAAUAUAAAGAAGAAAAUCUUAUGAAAAUGAAUUUUCGCGUUAGUUAUAAAAUUUAAAUAAGAUGCAACUUAUCAAGAACAUUUAAGAAUAUUAUUAGCGAACCCCAUUAUCGAUUCCAAUUAUGCAGCUAAUAUUCAGGUACUACGAUUUAUAUGCUAAUCAUCUUUUGUUUAUUAGAGUUUUGUCUCGACACGAUGUUGCCUCGAUUAAAAAGAAAUCGUUCCAACUUUCGUCGAAUAGCUUUUAGUUUUUGGUUUUUUUGUUAAAUUUUGUCUUCAUAUUCAGAAGACGCAAAUAUUUAUGAAAAAUCGAGGAUCCAUCUAUGCCCAUAUACGCAAAUAUAGGAAAAUAUGAAAUUGAUAAUUAGUCCGAAUAUAUAUAAUUUACCGAAUACAUGUAAGCUCGCUUCUUUUCUCGAUGUUUCUUUUCUUCUUUAAUAUUAAUUUCAUUUUUUAUUUUAACUUAUUUUCUAAUAUUGUUUUUAAUUUUACAUCCGUGCUUUAUUUAUAUCCGUGGUGAUUCUCAGAAACGUAUGGAUAGUUUAUCAAUUUAUAGACAAGUAUAUAAAUAAGUAUGUAUAUGAACAUUAGACUUAAGUACAUAGAAAGUACGCAGUACGGAGCAAUAUAUAUAUAUGUGUGUGUGUGUGUGUGUGUGUGUGUGUGUGUGUAUACGUGCAUGUAUUUACGUAUAUAUGAAAUCAGUCUACAAUCUGAAGAGAAUAAAAAAAAUUCCAAUCGUAGAUGUAGUAGAUAAAAGAGAAAAUAUAUAAACUAAAUUUUAACAGAACUUACCAUGUACUAGCGAAAAUAGUUUUAACUCCAUUAAUAAUUACGCCAUGCAGGAUUAUCUGUAAGAAAACAAUUAGUACUUAAUAAUGCAUUAGGAUUGAUAGAUCGAAACACUGUUUUAUAAAAAACCAAUAAUUAAAAAUGGAUACUAAUAAAUAUUACCAUUCGAAGGGAUAUUUAUAUUAUUCCAAAUAAUUCACUAAAAUUUAGUUCAAAUAACUCGAAUUAUACUAUUUCAUUUGUUUAAUAUUCCCAGGACAAAUUGCAUGGUGUUAUAUAUAGUAUAAAAUAAUAAUUAAAAAAAUUAUACAACUUUCUGUAGUAUAUUAUAAAACAGUAUAUCGUAGUAUUGAACACAAAAUUGUAUAAAAUACAGUAUAAUGCGUUAAUAUUAAGCAGUAUAAAAUUCAAAUAAGAUUUCACUAACUGAUAGCGUGUUUUUUAAAAUCUCCUAGAUAAGUAACAUUAUCGUGGCAGGCAGAAACAAACAUAUUAUUCUGAAUCGGCCCUUUUUUGAAUCUUCUAGGAACUAGCUUCUAGGACGAUUCGAAACAGGAUAAACAGUUUAAUCAACUUCCGCGGAUAGCUAAUAUCAUCUAUUAUAUUGAGUCGAGCAUCCGCUGUUUCGAUCAAUACCCUCUUCUUCAUAAAGUCACGAGGGUAACGAUUAUCUCUUCACAAUGUUUUCAAUAAUUUUGGAUCGAAAUUAUCAUAAACGGGAAAUUUAAUUUGUUUUUAUCUUUCUUUUUUUCUUUGAUUCUUUUUUCUCCAUUUGAUUCCCCUGUUCGUCAUUCUCCAUAUUCAUAUCUUUUCGAUCAUUUCACAUUGUAAAAAUCGAAUUCUAUUCAUCUUCUUCCCGAGGAGGGAAAUUUUUUUGAACAUUUAAUUAUUCAUAUUUAUUUAUUUUUUGCGAAGAGAAUAUUGACAUUACCAAGAAAGUAGAAUUCUCAAUGUUGUAUUUAUAAGGAAUGGUGAUCUCAAGGAAAAGCUAUCUUCUAAAAUAUUUAUAUCUUAUCUUUUGUGCGAUGUAAAUCGUUUGAUCGAAUAACAAUGGCUAGAAAGAAGUAUAAUACAUCUCUACUAUGUUGGGGGCAGCACUUAUAUUUCUGAAAAACCUCCAUCACUCAUUAUUUUUAAUACAUGACCUGAACAUUCUGACAAACAAUUUGUAACAUUGAACCAUAUACUUCUUCUCCUUUGAAUUAUGUUGAAUAAUUAUUUAAACUGACGGUAUAACGAUGACACGGUGAGAUGAACGUACCCUGAAUAUCUAAUACAUAAUUUAAGUGUUACCGUGCUAACAUCACAAUUUCAAUAGAAAACUCCAGUGAAAAACGAAUUUCCCAAAAAGUAGCAGUGCAAACACUCGAUCCGCCCAAAUCACUUACUAACUCUGUGGUUCUCUCGAAGAGGAAAUACGUGAAAGAGAAGAUGGUGAUACUAGGAAACAAAGAAAUAUGACAAGAGAUUUUCUCCGAAUACUUAUUUUUUAUUAUCGUGCACUAAUGUUAAUGAAUUCUAGGAUAAUUUAAGCAAUAUAUAUUUGUUUACAAGAUAAGAAGCUGAUAUUUGAAGAAAAUGUUUUUAAGGAAAAUGAAAGUAGAUGUAACUUCCUACGAAAAAAUGUUUUAACAACAAAAUAUUUUACAAUAAGAAUUAGAUAGUAUGAAAAUUGUAAUACCCGUAAUAUCAAAUAUUAGAACACUAUUUUUAAGUAUGACUUAAACAUACGAAAGAAGAAACAUUACAUAUUUCGUAUAUGAUAUUACGAUUACUUUCUAGAAAUUAAUGUUGAUACUUACAAUAAUUAUUAUUUUUGACAUUAUUAUUAAAAUAAUUUGAAAUUAUUAAUACAAAAAUCAUUAAUAAUAAUUAAUUAUAUUAUAAAUAAUUACAGUUUUACGUGCAUAUUGCAAUUAAAAAAGAGAAAAAUAACUGUCAAUUUCGUUAGAAGAUUCCAAGUUUUAUGAAAUAAUUUUUCAAGUGCAUAAAGGAAAUAAAAAUAUAACUACAUAGUUACAGGAGAGGGGAAAUUUUUCAUCCCCAAACUAGAAAAUUAAAAUCUAGGAAACUUGGUCUUCUAACGAGACAACGUGGGAUUAACUUAACCAGGGGAAGUCAUUCCUUCCGUGAUUUUCGACCCAGUAAUACGCAAGUGUGUGUCAUAGGCGAAAUAAUCCCUAGCUAUCAUACAUGUCAAACAGCAGUUUUACAAAUGACAGAAACGAUUGAAAAACCUUUACCACUAAUCAUUCUAUUAUUCCGGUAAUAUUCUUUCAAUUUAGUAUUAUAUUUGCAUAAGAUUUAUUAAAAAAUUCCAUUUCCACAUUAUAGAAAUUACCAGAUAAUUACUGCAAUUUGGGAUUCAUACCAAUUAGAAUAUUUGAGACAAAUUCACAUGUAAAUAAUAAUACUUUCUUCGACUGCAUAUGAUCUACAAAAAUAUUUUAUAAAUUAUUAUAAAAUAAAUAAAUAUGUUAUAGACUUUAUAUUCCACAUUACAUUUUAGAAUAAAUAAUUUAUCUUAUCUCUAAAAUAUCUUACGAUUAAAUAAACACAGCGUUGAUUGAUUUUCCAUUUAAACACAAAUAUAAAAAGGAAAAUGUUUGCAUAUAUUAAUCUCCUUGAUGGUCUGGCAAUUGUAAUCUCCAUGUUAGAAGUAUCGUCUGAUGUACGGAAGAACAGGUAGUGUCAAUGUAUAUGUGUUUCACUUUGGAUGUGCAAUGUUGUUUUAUCUGGUGGAACGUAGUUGAAAUUUUUUUAUCUUUUUUGGAAUUACAAUUCAAAUAUAAAUCGAUUCGGUUCCUUUGGAUUAGAUCCAGGCUAUCGGAACUGUUUUCGUCUUCGGUUGGUUUAGUAUAUCUCUGAAACAAUAUAAGAUUCGUAGAUUAGUUAAGACUUACGGAAGUAAUUCAAUUGUUCAUCUAAUUGUAAUGUCCUCAAAAAUAAAUUUUGUUUCAUCCUUUUAAGCGAUAUAAAGUACCUUUUCCGAAAUGCAACAAACAAUAAUUUAGAUAGUAUUUAUAACGAAAAUCAGUUUCAUUUCCAUAAUGUAUACUUGAAAUUUUAUAAUAAAUCACAAACUACUGACUACUAACAAAUUUACCUUGUAUUGAUAGUAUAGACAAAUGACUAGUAAGAUUAAGUUUCCACCGCCUAAAUAACUUGUAUAACUGAUCUCUGGGACGUAUGAAGUAUGCAUGAACGAAUAUUUCUUGUACCACACUCGCUUGCGUAUUACUAGUUCGAGAACCACCGAAGGAAUGACCUGCAGCUUCAUCGUCGUCCGUCGAACGGCGGUUUUUGUACCCCGCACAUCGAUUUGGAUUCUUAACCGAGCGAACACGAUAGCGCCCUUUGCACAGGGUUAUUACACUUGACGUAGAUUAAUCAAUAUAUCGAAAGAACCAAGAUGGUCAUAAGCUACGUGGAUAUGAAUUUUUCUAUUGAUUUCUAUUAAUUGGAUGUAUCAUUAUCCUUUUUUUUAUGCUCUUCUUUCGUUUCUUUUUUCCCAUCCUUCUCUUUACUAUUUGAAAUUAGAUAUUAAUUAAAGAAUUCUGAAAAUUGAUAAAUAUGUUUCUUCCUGUUUUUGUCGUUAAAAUAUUUAUUAAUAAGAAUUAAUUUGGUUAUUACAACAAACAAAGAAUAUUGUUUAAAAAUUUUUAUUGUAAUAAUACUUUCUGUUCUUUUUCUAUUACUUAAUAUAACAAUAUCUUUUUUACACAUCUGUCUUCUAUUAUAACGCGUUAAUAAAGAAUAUGAAUUCAUAGAAAAU